CUAAGUAGUAGCAUUCCAUUCAUGAGAUCAUAUCUAAACAUGCUUAAUAACUCCAGAAAAUUGCUUUCUUUAUUAUAACAUAUGUGAGUCUUUCGUGUUUACAUCAAUCUUCUCACAUAUACUAGUGUAGGGUGUGUAGUCAGAAAAUGUGUGUGAAAAUAGAGAGUAUCUUGUAAGGAAUUGAGCAAAUUCUCUAAGGUAUGUUACUACAUUCAAAACAUCGUUUUCAUUGGUUAAUUGUGAACUAGUAAGUGGUUGAUAGGAGCAUAUUUA
rnacentral:lncRNA from 1 species